CCCCUUCUGAAAAGCACUUGCUGGGUCUGUGCUCAGUGGCUCGGAGUUGUCGUGGAAGGGUAUAGCAAAGGCAUCGCUCUUGGGUGAAGUGGCAGCAGCAUGUGCUGUUAACUUCAAUCAGUGGUGCGACAGUC
rfam:Alligator mississippiensis ScZkoYb_277, whole genome shotgun sequence.